CCUACGGGGUGCUGCAGUGAGGAAUAUUGGUCAAUGGACGAGAGUCUGAACCAGCCAAGUAGCGUGAAGGAUGACUGCCCUAUGGGUUGUAAACUUCUUUUAUAAAGGAAUAAAACGAGGCACGUGUGCCUUUUUGCAUGUACUUUAUGAAUAAGGAUCGGCUAACUCCGUACAAGCAGCCGCGGUAAUACGGAGGAUCCGAGGGUUAUCCGGAUUUAUUGGGUUUAAAGGGAGCGUAGAUGGGUUGUUAAGUCAGUUGUGAAAGUUUGCGGCUCAACCGUAAAAUUGCAAUUGAUACUGGAAGUCUUGAGUACAGUUGAGGUAGUCGGAAUUCGUGGUGUAGCGGUGAAAUGCUUAGAUAUCACGAAGAACCCCGAUUGCGAAGGCAGCUUACUAAACUGUGACUGACAUUGAUGCUCGAAAGUGUGGGUAUCAAACAGGAUUAGAUACCCUUGUAGUC
rnacentral:rRNA from 1 species